rnacentral:ncRNA from 1 species
CUGGUUCACGAUAAGUGAUGAAAAGGGAAUAGGGUGAGAAUCCCUGACAGUCCCGCUGCUGUGAGUUGUCCUUCACUGUCGAGGAAAAAAGCCACUGGCACGCUGCCGGGAAGGUAUCUAGGACACGACAACAAAGUCAGAAGACCUGCCGUCGCAUUUU